rnacentral:misc_RNA from 1 species
CAACCAUCCCAUUCAUCUUCAUCCCUCUGCAUUUCAAAUUUGGCUAAAACGGCAUCGUUGCUUUCCGUUUGCUCUGCGAUAAAAAAACAACCAUACACCUAAAAAAAAGAAAAACAAAAAAUCAUCUGGCCCCACGGUAAUCUUUAGCCACGUCUCUCUACCGCUUAUCUCCCGAAUCCUUAUCCUUAGCCCCUUGAACCAUCAGACACUACUUUGUCCUCUUUCUUCAAUUCUCUACCGCCUCUCUGCAACGCCCAUAUCUUUAUCUCAUUAUUCCCUUCUCCCCUUCAUCCUCUUAUUCUUAUAUUGUUCCAUUUCAUAUCUCUACUCUGCUGACUACGCCUUUCCUUUUGGGACUUCUAUCCUCUUCCCUCUUUGAAACCCUCGACUAAUCGCUGCGCUUAAAGCGUCUUUACCAUUUCGAUUUAAUCGAGGGUUUUCUUUCUUUCUUUCUGGUUUUUUCCUCGCUUUAAUUUAUCUGGGCUCUGUUUGGAUUGCUGGAUAUUUCCUUUUUUGCCGCUAUUUCAUUGGGGCGAAAGGCUAGAUGGCUUUGUGGUCGAUUUUAUUGGAGAUUUUGAACAGACCCACUCUUGGGGAUGCCCUGGCUGACCUCGUCAUAUUUAUGAUUCCUCUUUGGAUUGCGGUUAUUGUUGGGGUUCUAUUAGGAUGGGCAUGGAAGCCUAAAUGGGCCAAUUUGGGCAGAGUGAUGUUGGAUUCUUCAGUCGCCAAGGACUCCGAUAACACUGUAGCAUCACAGGCAUCGUCUUCGAUCCCCACCUUGAAUUUAUUUAAGAUUCAAUUGCCCAGUUUCAUCCCUUGGGUUGCUGACGAUGGGAUUCAAAAGGAGACUUCUUCUGCGCCGCCUAACAUGACUGAUGAUUGCAGUUCCUCACAGGUGCAAAAUGAUAAAUCCAGUAUGGUGAAUGAAGAUGAUUUAGAGCUUUUGUGUAAGCUUGUUGAGGAAAAAGAUGGAGGUCCUGCUUGGAUUCAGAUGAUGAAUCGUUCUAGUCCAACUAUGAGCUAUCAAGCUUGGCGGAGAGAUCCUGAGACUGGCCCUACGCAAUAUCGUACCAGAACUGUUUUUGAGGAUGCCACUCCUGAAAUGGUGAGGGACUUCUUUUGGGAUGACGAAUUUCGGUUGAAGUGGGACGACAUGGUUAUACAUGCUGCAAUUUUGGAGGAGUGCCCCACCACAGGAUCCAUGGUGGUCCAGUGGGUACGCAAGGUGGGAAUGUUAAUUUCUAGCUUUUAGUUUUUGCAUGAAAUGUUUGGUUGUGAUCUCUAGUGUGCUAAAUUUAUGUAUUUUCUUGGCACAGUUUCCCUUCUUUUGUAGCGAUAGAGAAUACAUCAUAGGCCGUCGAAUUUGGGAAUCUGGUCGAUUGUAUUACUGUAUUACAAAGGUAUGAGAAAGAUAACCUCUAGUUUCCUUCUUAUGUUGUUUUUUUAGCCUCUGGUAAUUGGAUAGGAAUUAAUUAGAGCAUUCUCAUAUUCUGUUGAUUAAACCUCAUUUUAGGAUUGAAGUAAUAUGACUUUGCUCUCUUAGCUAGAGUUAGAAAUAUUAAGAUUUAUGCCUUAGAAAUAUUAAGAUUUAUGUCUUUUUUUGUUGAUGGAGUAGCAGAAAUAAAUUAUUAAUGAAAGGAAAUUUACUAAUUGUUAUCCUAUUAAUUGCUCAAGGCACUUGGAUUGUGUAGGCCUUUAGCUCAAAAUUGUAUGCACCAUUGAAUUACAUGUUAUACUGACAAUAGAGGGAAUCGUUUGUGUUGGUACGGAUUGAAAUUCUAGUCUCAUUGUUAGAGUUCCUUUUUGCAUUAGGUGCUGGUAUUUGUUUAGGAUAAAAUUUCAUCAUUUUUGUUACUGUUUUCUUCAUAUCAUAUGGUUUUUGUUCGCCCAAAAUUUCUGUUCAGGAAGUAAGUUGUUGAUCUUUUAUUACAUUUCAGGGAGUUCCUUGCUCCUCUUUGCCAAGACGCAACAAACCAAGACGUGUGGAUUUGUACUAUUCAAGCUGGUGCAUUCGUGCAGUUGAAUCAAAAAGAGGGGAUGGCCAACUGACUGCAUGUGAGGUGCUACUUUUUCAUCAUGAAGAUAUGGGUAUUCCUUUGGAAAUUGCAAAGCUUGGAAUCCGGCAUGGUAUGUGGGGAGCAGUGAAGAAGAUCGAACCUAGUUUACGUGCAUAUCAGAAGCAAAGAGCAGCUGGAGAUCCACUCUCACGCUGUGCUUUCAUGGCUCAGAUCAACACCAAAGUGAGUGCAGACUACCUUAAAUGUUUGGAGAGCACUGCUAGUAGUCAUUCAUCAGAGGUUGAAAUCCAGGAUUCUUCUUCCAAGAAACCACGGGGAAACAUACAUAGGCUUUUGGUAGUUGGUGGGGCUAUUGCUCUUGCUUGUACUCUUGACCAGGGUCUCUUAACUAAGGCAGUUAUAUUUGGAGUAGCAAGGAGAUUUGCAAAAACUGGGAGGUUGUGAUCUGGAGAUUAUUUUGCAUCAUUGCUAUGAUGACAACCAAGUUUAUUGCUUCUGCAGUGAAUUGAGAAAUGGUUGGAGGAUGUUGAAUCUCCUAACUCCUCACCCUGAUUUGAAAUGGAUGGAAGUUUUGUGUUCAUUUUUCCUUAAGGUUGAGGUAUGGUGUGGCUUUAGAUCUGAAAAAUAGAAAAGAUCAUACAGCUGUAUUCAUGAAAUUUAGCAAUGUGAUGAAAGAAUCUCAAUAAUUUGUCGCCAAUAAUUUGAAUAAAUGAAAGGCAAACAUGUUCCUCCAAUUCAAAAUUUUGUUUGGGAAUUGGAAGUGUUUAGGUCAGAAACGAGGUGAAUUAAGCAACUAGUUUCUGUUAAUAUAAUAAUUUUGGUACAAGUUAAGUUGGACUAAUAAUGAAAAUUGCAGCCGUUUACCAUC